rnacentral:rRNA from 1 species
UGCAGUCGACGGCAGCGGGGGAGAAGCUUGCUUCUCCUGCCGGCGAGUGGCGAACGGGUGAGUAAUACAUCGGAACGUGCCCUGUAUUGGGGGAUAACUAGUCAAAAGAUUAGCUAAUACCGCAUACUACCUGAGGGUGAAAGUGGGGGACCGCAGGGCCUCCUGCUGUAGGAGCGGCCGAUGUCUGAUUAGCUAGUUGGUGGGGUAAAGGCCCACCAAGGCGACGAUCACUAGCUGGUCUGAAAGGACGAUCAGCCACACUGGGACUGAGACACGGCCCAGACUCCUACGGGAGGCAGCAGUGGGGAAUUUUGGACAAUGGGCGAAAGCCUGAUCCAGCAAUGCCGCGUGUGUGAAGAAGGCCUUCGGGUUGUAAAGCACUUUUGUCCGGAAAGAAAUGGCUCUGGUUAAUACCUGGGGUCGAUGACGGUACCGGAAGAAUAAGGACCGGCUAACUACGUGCCAGCAGCCGCGGUAAUACGUAGGGUCCAAGCGUUAAUCGGAAUUACUGGGCGUAAAGCGUGCGCAGGCGGUUGUGCAAGACCGAUGUGAAAUCCCCGAGCUUAACUUGCGAAUUGCAUUGGUGACUGCACGGCUAGAGUGUGUCAGACGGGGGUAGAAUUCCACGUGUAGCAGUGAAAUGCGUAGAGAUGUGGAGUAAUACCGAUGGCGAAUGCAGCCCGCUGGUAUAACACUGACGCUCAUGCACGAAAGCGUGGGGAGCAAACAGGAUUAGAUACCCUGGUUAGUCCACGCCCUACACGAUGUCAACUAGAUUGUUGGGGAUUCAUUUCCUUACUAACGUAGCUGCUGCGUGAAGUUGACCGCCUGGUGCAGUACGGUCGCUAGAUUAAACUCAUAGGACUUGACGGGAUCCCGCACAAGCCGUGCAUGAUGUGAUCAUUCGAUGCAUCGCGAAAACGUGACUACCUUGACAUGCCACUAACUCAUCUGAAAUGCAUAAGUGCUCUACGACAUACGUGACACAGUGC